UACAGAGGUCUCAAGCGUUGUUCGGAUUCAUUGGGCGUAAAGGGUGCGUAGGUGGCGCUGUAAGUCAGAUGUGAAAUUUCGGAGCUUAACUCCGAAACUGCAUUUGAUACUGCGGUGCUUGAGGACUGGAGAGGAGAUUGGAAUUCACGGUGUAGCAGUGAAAUGCGUAGAUAUCGUGAGGAAGACCAGUGGCGAAGGCGGAUCUCUGGACAGUUCCUGACACUGAGGCACGAAGGCCAGGGGAGCAAACGGG
rnacentral:rRNA from 1 species